AGGGAGGAGCUUUCGGGCUUCGACCGGCGUACGGGUGCGUAACGCGUAUACAAUCUGCCUUUCACAUAGGGAUAGCCCGAAGAAAUUUGGAUUAAUACCUAAUGGUAUAUAGAUGUGGCAUCACCUUUAUAUUAAAGCUGAGGCGGUGAAAGAUGAGUAUGCGUUCUAUUAGCUAGUUGGAGAGGUAACGGCUCCCCAAGGCUACGAUAGAUAGGGGUUCUGAGAGGGAUAUCCCCCACACUGGUACUGAGAUACGGACCAGACUCCUACGGGAGGCAGCAGUGAGGAAUAUUGGACAAUGGUCGGAAGACUGAUCCAGCCAUGCCGCGUGCAGGAAGACGGCCUUAUGGGUUGUAAACUGCUUUUGCAGGGGAAGAAUAAGGACUACGAGUAGUUCGAUGACGGUACUCUGCGAAUAAGCAUCGGCUAACUCCGUGCCAGCAGCCGCGGUAAUACGGAGGAUGCGAGCGUUAUCCGGAAUCAUUGGGUUUAAAGGGUCCGUAGGCGGGCUAAUAAGUCAGAGGUGAAAGCGCUCAGCUCAACUGAGCAACUGCCUUUGAAACUGUUAGUCUUGAAUGGUUGUGAAGUAGUUGGAAUGUGUAGUGUAGCGGUGAAAUGCUUAGAUAUUACACAGAACACCGAUAGCGAAGGCAUAUUACUAACAAUUAAUUGACGCUGAUGGACGAAAGCGUGGGGAGCGAACAGGAUUAGAUACCCUGGUAGUCCACGCUGUAAACGAUGGAUACUAGCUGUUUGGUUGUAAGACUGAGUGGCUAAGCGAAA
rnacentral:rRNA from 1 species